rnacentral:misc_RNA from 1 species
ACAUUUUGAUCACCAGUUGAACCA